rnacentral:piRNA from 1 species
UGCAAAAUUCAUGUGAUGUAGAAAUAUCAGC